GAUGAACGCUGGCGGCGUGCCUAAUACAUGCAAGUCGAGCGAACAGACGAGGAGCUUGCUCCUCUGACGUUAGCGGCGGACGGGUGAGUAACACGUGGAUAACCUACCUAUAAGACUGGGAUAACUUCGGGAAACCGGAGCUAAUACCGGAUAAUAUAUUGAACCGCAUGGUUCAAUAGUGAAAGACGGUUUUGCUGUCACUUAUAGAUGGAUCCGCGCCGCAUUAGCUAGUUGGUAAGGUAACGGCUUACCAAGGCGACGAUGCGUAGCCGACCUGAGAGGGUGAUCGGCCACACUGGAACGGAGACACGGUCCAGACUCCUACGGGAGGCAGCAGUAGGGAAUCUUCCGCAAUGGGCGAAAGCCUGACGGAGCAACGCCGCGUGAGUGAUGAAGGUCUUCGGAUCGUAAAACUCUGUUAUUAGGGAAGAACAAAUGUGUAAGUAACUAUGCACGUCUUGACGGCACCUAAUCAGAAAGCCACGGCUAACUACGUG
rnacentral:rRNA from 1 species